rnacentral:rRNA from 1 species
AUAACUCCGGGAAACCGGGGCUAAUACCGAAUAAUACUUUUUAACACAUGUUUGAAAGUUGAAAGACGGUUUUCGGCUAGUCACUAUAAGAUGGACCCGCGGCGCAUUAGCUAGUUGGUGAGGUAACGGCUCACCAAGGCAACGAUGCGUAGCCGACCUGAGAGGGUGAUCGGCCACACUGGGUACUGAGACACGGACCCAGACUCCUACGGGAGGCAGCAGUAGGGAAUCUUCCAACAAUGGACGAAAGUCUGAAUGGAGCAACGCCGCCGUUGAGUGAAGAAGGAUUUCGGUUCGUAAAACUCUAGUUGCAAGGGUAAGAACAAGUAGCGUUAGUAACUGGCGCUACCUUGACGGUACCUUGUUAGAAAGCCACGGCUAACUACGUGCCAGCCGCCGC